rfam:Pan troglodytes isolate Yerkes chimp pedigree #C0471 (Clint) chromosome 2B, whole genome shotgun sequence.
GUAGUCUGUGGAAAGGCUACUGUGUUGUUGAACUUGCCCAGCUGUGAGUGCAGCCAUGCACCAGGCAGCCCAAGCCUGACAUAAAGUAAAUUCCCAGGAGAAGUCUUUCCUGGGUUUUGAAUUUGCAGUAACAGGUGUAAGCAUUCCAGCAGCAGUUUGUUGAUCAUGUGAUAUCAGAAAUGCAA